AAUGGGAGGAUGACAAAUCAGAUUUUUCCUCCUGAUUUUCAGCUUUUUCCUCCUGAAAAAAAAUCAAAUCCAACUAAAAAUGCUAAAAAUCAGGAGGAAAAAUCUGAUUUGUCAUCCUCCCAUU
rfam:Gossypium raimondii chromosome 8, whole genome shotgun sequence.